rnacentral:misc_RNA from 1 species
GAUGAAGAACGUAGCGAAAUGCGAUACGUAGUGUGAAUUGCAGAAUUCAGUGAAUCAUCGAAUCUUUGAACGCACAUUGCACCUCUCGGUAUUCCGGGAGGUAUGCCUGUUCGAGCGUCAUUUGUACCCUCAAGCUCUGCUUGGUGUUGGGUGUUUGUUCCGCCUCUGUGUGUGAACUCGCCUCAAAACAAUUGGCAGCCGGCGUACUUGUUUCGGAGCGCAGCACAUUUUGCGAUCCAGAUCAACGUACAGCGGCAUCCAAGAAGCCUUAUUUAACGCUCUUGACCUCGGAUCAGGUAGGGAUACCCGCUGAACUUCAGCAUAUCAAUAAGCGGAGGA